rnacentral:misc_RNA from 1 species
GUAGGUGAACCUGCGGAAGGAUCAUUACUGAGUCCAUGCCCUAACGGGUAGAUCUCCCACCCUUGAAUAUAUAAACCUUUGUUGCUUUGGCGGGCCGCUUCGGCUACCGGCUUCGGCUGGUGAGUGCCCGCCAGAGGACCCCUAAACUCUUGAUUUUUGUGUUGUCUGAGUAAUAUAACAAAUAACUGAAAACUUUCAACAACGGAUCUCUUGGUUCUG